AGAAAGCGCUCACACCUGGCCUCAUUGUCUGCAUGCAGGAGGCUGAUCUUUGUCCUGUGGGUAUUGGGAGCCCCGAAGGGUUUCAGGCAGGGACUGGGUAUUGGGGUGGAGGUGACAGAAUCAGAUCUGCGUUUUUGAGCCAUCACUCUGGGUGUUGACUAGAAGGUAGAUUGGAGUUGCUUCCACCAGCUGCCAUAGCUGAGGUUAAAAACCGGUGGCUGGCAAGACCCAAAGGAAUACUUAUAGUAUAAAUCCAUUCAUACCACGUUUAUAAGCAGGCACAGCUCAUCUGUAGCACUUAGAGACCAUAGGACAGUGACUAUGUCAAGAGGUGGGAGAGCAUUGCCACUGAGAAGGACGG
rnacentral:lncRNA from 10 species